UGCUUAGGAUUCUUGACCUGAGUCAGAAUCACCCUACAACUGUGCCGGAGGGCAUCAAGAAUUUCACUGCACUCAUUGAGCUUGAUCUGUCUGACAACAAUAUAACAGCACUCCCAGCGGAGCUGGGAUUGCUUGAAGCUAACCUGCAAGUGUUGAAACUGGAUGGAAAUCCGCUAAGAAGGUAAGAAUGUAACCUCGAGCUAGUAUGGGGUCACGUC